UGUUGUUUGGUUGUGGACUUACUCACU
rnacentral:piRNA from 1 species